rnacentral:rRNA from 1 species
UCCGUAGGGCGCAAGCGUUGUCCGGAAUUAUUGGGCGUAAAGAGCUCGUAGGCGGCUUGUCACGUCGGUUGUGAAAGCCCGGGGCUUAACCCCGGGUCUGCAGUCGAUACGGGCAGGCUAGAGUGUGGUAGGGGAGAUCGGAAUUCCUGGUGUAGCGGUGAAAUGCGCAGAUAUCAGGAGGAACACCGGUGGCGAAGGCGGAUCUCUGGGCCAUUACUGACGCUGAGGAGCGAAAGCGUGGGGAGCGAACAGG